rnacentral:tRNA from 1 species
GGGCCCGUAGCUCAGCUAGGUUAGAGCGCCCGACGCGUGACCGGGUGGUCGUGGGUUCGAAUCCCACCGGGCCCA